GGAGUUGGACGGGUGACCGCGGCGUGGCUUGACCAUGUCGAGGAAAGUCGGGACUUCUCAGGGCAGAGUGCUGGCGAGAGCCAGGUUGGGGCGACCUAACGGAAAGUGCAACAGAGAAAGACCGCCGAUGGGCCGGGAAACUGGUCACAGGUAAGGGUGAAACGGUGCGGUAAGAGCGCACCAGCAUGCGGAGUGAUUCGUAUGGCUUGGCAAACCCCACUCGAAGCAAGGCCAAGCAGGGAGUGAGCGGCCCGCUCAAUACUUCCGGGUAGGCCGCGUAGAUGGAUGGUCACCGGCGUUUCGGCGUCACAGGAUCCCGCUUACAGGCCAACUCCCCGU
rnacentral:RNase_P_RNA from 1 species